UGGGGAAUUUUGCACAAUGGGGGAAACCCUGAUGCAGCGACGCCGCGUGAUUUAGAAGGCCUUCGGGUUGUAAAAAUCUUUUUUACGGGAUGAAAAUGACAGUACCGUAAGAAUAAGGUCCGGCUAAAUACGUGCCAGCAGCCGCGGUAAUACGUAUGGACCGAGCGUUGUCCGGAAUCAUUGGGCGUAAAGGGUACGUAGGCGGCCUAGUAAGUUAGAAGUGAAAUAAUAUAGCUCAACUAUAUAAAGCUUUUAAAACUGCUAGGCUUGAGAGAUGGAAGGGAAAGUGGAAUUCCUAGUGUAGCGGUGAAAUGCGCAGAUAUUAGGACGAAUACCGGUGGCGAAGGCGACUUUCUGGUCAUCAUCUGACGCUGAGGUACGAAAGCGUGGGUAGCAAACAGG
rnacentral:rRNA from 1 species